AUGCUCUCGUCGAGCAUUAUCGAAAUAAAAUUUUUACUCUGCUCGAGUAAAUCAAACAAUCCAUUCCUUACAUGUAAAGGACAGACACCGGUAAACAAAUUGUGGCGCCCAAUCAAAAGUACGGGAAGUGAGCAGUAUAAAUCAACUCUCUGCAUAGUCAUCGCACCGAGCAACGUAUACACAAAUAUUGCCUCUUUCUCACUUUUAUCGAAACAAUCAAUUAACGAACAUCGUGGUCACAGAACAAAGUGCAGUAAAUCCGGAAACUUCUCGAAUAUUACACAAAUUCAAUUUUUUAUCCAGUUAUACAGUGCUACUAACCCGGUCAACAUCGCGAAAGAACGUUUUUCUUGGUUAUGUCAACCCAAGACUUCGACAAUCAAAGCGAAUCCGAAAUCGACGAUUACGAGGUCGACGAAGACGAGGUGUUAAAAUCGGACCCUGAAGACAACAAUAAUUCAGAUCUUAACAACACGGUCACUAAUUUCGGGAAACUGGUGGUAGAGAAGUACAUCGAAGUGAAUAACGAUCGCAACGCAAGCCUCAGUUCCACUACCGUAUUUACGUCGACUGGCAUCGAAAAGCCGAACAAUAAGCAGAUUGUAACGAAUAAGGAGCCCGACGGUAGUAUAAAUCACCACUCCUGAACUAGUGUUGGAUCAAUCCAGUAAAACCGACUGCAAAAGAGCAAGAAGCGCGAACAAUACACCAUCCGAUUCGCCGAAUCCAGCCAAAAAACAUCGUCCGAUUAUCAACAUGCUUCCAUCCAUGGCUGAUGCCCUCAAAGCUGAUGGAGGUGGACACAUGGUGGACAUCGUAUCGCUCAAAGAUGGUCAUCCGCUAACUAAAGAUCAAACCGACCUCAUCAAGGAAAGAUUGACCACCGAGCUUUUUACUAGAGAUAACAUCUCAAAUAUUAAAAUCGAACCGCCGUACUUCGAUGGUACUAAAUUGCGCGUUAUUUGCGCGAACGUUGACUCGAAAGAAUGGCUGCUAGACACAGUUGGCAAGCUCGAGAAAAAAAUCGAGGGUAUCGAAAUCGGUACCAAAUAAUUAGGCGUUCCGCCGAAGAUGAUUACUGUCACUAUCACAAUGCCAGUCAAAACAUACGAACCUCCGGUCCUAUUCAGUAUCAUAACAGCUCAGAAUUCUGUCGACACAACUUAUUGGCGCUACAUGUCGCGCACGAAAGCAACGAACGGUAGACAAACCUGGUUUAUUAGUGUAGAUGAAACGUCACUAAAGCAACUCAAAGAGUUGGGCUACCGCCCGUAUGUUGGGCUGGAUCGCAUCAAAUUCAGUGUGCAGAAUGGAAAUCAGAAAUGAAUUGCAGACAUUCGUUAUCGAAUUAUUGUCAGCCUUCAUAAGUAAAUCAUUAUUACCCGGCAAUAAAUGGCAGCAUACUUA